UUUGAUCAUGGCUCAGAACGUACGCUGGCGGCACGCCUAACACAUGCAAGUCGAACGAAGUAGCAAUACUUAGUGGCAGACGGGUGAGUAACAUGUGGGUAUCUGCCCUUUGGCCUGGAAUAACACGAGGAAACUUGUGCUAAUACCGGAUAAGUCUUUACGGAGAAAGCUUUAUGCACCAUUGGAUGAGCCCGCACUUGAUUAGUUUGUUGGUGGGGUAAUGGCCUACCAAGACUGUGAUCAAUAGCUGAUUUGAGAGGAUGAUCAGCCACAUUGGGACUGAGACACGGCCCAAACUCCUACGGGAGGCAGCAGUGGGGAAUCUUGCACAAUGGAGGAAACUCUGAUGCAGCGAUGCCGCGUGAGUGAAGAAGGCCCUUGGGUUGUAAAGCUCUUUCGUCGGGGAAGAAAAUGACUGUACCCGAAUAAGAAGGUCCGGCUAACUUCGUGCCAGCAGCCGCGGUAAUACGAAGGGACCUAGCGUAGUUCGGAAUUACUGGGCUUAAAGAGUUCGUAGGUGGUUGAAAAAGUUAGUGGUGAAAUCCCAGAGCUUAACUCUGGAACUGCCAUUAAAACUUUUCAGCUAGAGUAUGAUAGAGGAAAGCAGAAUUUCUAGUGUAGAGGUGAAAUUCGUAGAUAUUAGAAAGAAUACCAAUUGCGAAGGCAGCUUUCUGGAUCAUUACUGACACUGAGGAACGAAAGCAUGGGUAGCGAAGAGGAUUAGAUACCCUCGUAGUCCAUGCCGUAAACGAUGUGUGUUAGACGUUGGAAAUUUAUUUUCAGUGUCGCAGCGAAAGCGAUAAACACACCGCCUGGGGAGUACGACCGCAAGGUUAAAACUCAAAUGAAUUGACGGGGACCCGCACAAGUAGUGGAGCAUGUGGUUUAAUUCGAAGAUACGCGCAGAACCUUACCAACACUUGACAUGUUCGUCGCGACUCUAAGAGAUUAGAGUUUUCGGUUCGGCCGGACGAAACACAGGUGCUGCAUGGCUGUCGUCAGCUCGUGUCGUGAGAUGUUGGGUUAAGUCCCGCAACGAGCGCAACCCUCACUUUUAGUUGCCAUCAUUAAGUUGGGCACUCUGAAAGAACUGCCAGUGAUAAGCUGGAGGAAGGUGGGGAUGACGUCAAGUCCUCAUGGCCCUUACGUGUUGGGCUACACACGUGCUACAAUGGUAUCUACAACAGGAAGCAAGACUGCGAGGUCAAGCAAAUCCUUAAAAGAUACCUCAGUUCGGAUUGCACUCUGCAACUCGAGUGCAUGAAGCUGGAAUUACUAGUAAUCGUGGAUCAGCGUGCCACGGUGAAUGCGUUCCCGGGUCUUGUACACACCGCCCGUCACACCAUGGGAGUUGGUUCUACCUUAAGGCAAGGUUUCAAACCCUUGACCACGGUAUAGUCAGCGACUGGGGUGAAGUCGUAACAAGGUA
rnacentral:rRNA from 1 species